CCUACGGGAGGCAGCAGUAAGGAAUAUUGGUCAAUGGACGAAAGUCUGAACCAGCCAUGCCGCGUGAAGGAUUAAGGUCCUCUGGAUUGUAAACUUCUUUUAUAGGGGACGAAAAAAGGGCAUUCUUGCUCUCUUGACGGUACCCUGUGAAUAAGCACCGGCUAACUCCGUGCCAGCAGCCGCGGUAAUACGGAGGGUGCAAGCGUUAUCCGGAUUCACUGGGUUUAAAGGGUGCGUAGGCGGGUAGGUAAGUCAGUGGUGAAAUCUCGGAGCUUAACUCCGAAACUGCCAUUGAUACUAUCUAUCUUGAAUAUUGUGGAGGUUUGCGGAAUAUGUCAUGUAGCGGUGAAAUGCAUAGAUAUGACAUAGAACACCUAUUGCGAAGGCAGCAGGCUACACAUAUAUUGACGCUGAGGCACGAAAGCGUGGGGAUCAAACAGGAUUAGAUACCCUGGUAGUCCACGCCCUAAACGAUGAUUACUCGACAUACGUGAUACACUAUGUGUGUCUGAGNGAAGANAUAUAAUACACNGAGACGUCGCGAGAGAGAAGACAAGAGUAGAGNGNGAGAGNGCGAGGACGACACGAGGGAGGAGG
rnacentral:rRNA from 1 species